UAUCGAAGCUACUUAAUGGGACAGUGUGUAGGAUUUGGUGGCAUCUAGUGGUGUGGCUGCAGAUUGCUACCAACUGAGUACCCCUCCACUCACUCCUCCUUUUCAAAGACUGCGGUAACAUGAGCCUCCCAGUGCAAAAACAUGGUAACGCCAUGUGCCUCGCUCAGAGGCCAUCCUUACCAUAAUAACAAGAGGAUCCGCUCCCUGUGUAGAUAUGAAGGGCUCAUGCUAAGCUAACGUAAACACAUCAAUUUCAGGUUGUUUUUUCAGGUGAUUAUACAAUAAUGAAAACAUAUUUAUUAAUAUUAUAUUCCAUUUCUGCCAAUAGAUCCCACUAAAUGCUCCACACUGGACCUUUAAAGUUUAAAUGUAUUUUCUUGUUGUUAAAGGCUGGAUUAUGACAAUCUGAAUGUCUCAGCUGAGUGAAAUGUGAAUACUUUUGUUUGGUCAUCUUAUCCACAUUAAUAAUGACUAAUGAAAACGA